rnacentral:rRNA from 1 species
GAUGAACGCCAGCGGGAGGCCUAACACAUGCAAGCCGAGCGGUAUUGUUUCUUCGGAAAUGAGAGAGCGGCGUACGGGUGCGGAACACGUGUGCAACCUGCCUUUAUCUGGGGGAUAGCCUUUCGAAAGGAAGAUUAAUACUCCAUAAUAUAUUGAACGGCAUCGUUUAAUAUUGAAAGCUCCGGCGGAUAGGGAUGGGCACGCGCAAGAUUAGCUAGUUGGUGAGGUAACGGCUCACCAAGGCGAUGAUCUUUAGGGGGCCUGAGAGGGUGAUCCCCCACACUGGUACUGAGACACGGACCAGACUCCUACGGGAGGCAGCAGUGAGGAAUAUUGGUCAAUGGGUGCAAGCCUGAACCAGCCAUCCCGCGUGAAGGACGACUGCCCUAUGGGUUGUAAACUUCUUUUGUAUAGGGAUAAACCUACCCUCGUGAGGGUAGCUGAAGGUACUAUACGAAUAAGCACCGGCUAACUCCGUGCCAGCAGCCGCGGUAAUACGGAGGGUGCAAGCGUUAUCCGGAUUUAUUGGGUUUAAAGGGUCCGUAGGCGGACUUAUAAGUCAGUGGUGAAAGCCUGUCGCUUAACGAUAGAACUGCCAUUGAUACUGUAAGUCUUGAGUAUAUUUGAGGUAGCUGGAAUAAGUAGUGUAGCGGUGAAAUGCAUAGAUAUUACUUAGAACACCAAUUGCGAAGGCAGGUUACCAAGAUAUAACUGACGCUGAGGGACGGAAGCGUGGGGAGCGAACAGGAUUAGAUACCCUGGUAGUCCACGCCGUAAACGAUGCUAACUCGUUUUUGGGCUUUAGGGUUCAGAGACCAAGCGAAAGUGAUAAGUUAGCCACCUGGGGAGUACGCUCGCAAGAGUGAAACUCAAAGGAAUUGACGGGGGCCCGCACAAGCGGUGGAUUAUGUGGUUUAAUUCGAUGAUACGCGAGGAACCUUACCAAGACUUAAAUGGGAAUUGACAGCUUUAGAAAUAGAGCUUUCUUCGGACAAUUUUCAAGGUGCUGCAUGGUUGUCGUCAGCUCGUGCCGUGAGGUGUUAGGUUAAGUCCUGCAACGAGCGCAACCCCUGUCACUAGUUGCCAUCAUUCAGUUGGGGACUCUAGUGAGACUGCCUACGCAAGUAGAGAGGAAGGUGGGGAUGACGUCAAAUCAUCACGGCCCUUACGUCUUGGGCCACACACGUAAUACAAUGGCCGGUACAGAGGGCAGCUACACAGCGAUGUGAUGCAAAUCUCGAAAGCCGGUCUCAGUUCGGAUUGGAGUCUGCAACUCGACUCUAUGAAGCUGGAAUCGCUAGUAAUCGCGCAUCAGCCAUGGCGCGGUGAAUACGUUCCCGGGCCU